UACGUAGGGGGCGAGCGUUGUCCGAAGUUACUGGGCGUAAAGCGCGCGUAGGCGGUCAUUUAAGUCUGGGGUGAAAGGUUCAACGCUCAACGUGAACAGUGCCUUGGAUACUGGGUGACUUGAGUUCGGGAGGGGGCAGGUGGAAUUCCAGGUGUAGCGGUGAAAUGCGUAGAUAUCUGGAGGAACACCGAUGGCGAAGGCAGCUGCCUGGCCCAGAACUGACCGCUGAGGUGCGAAAGCGGUGGGGAGCGAACGGGAUUGAGAU
rnacentral:rRNA from 1 species